rnacentral:rRNA from 1 species
UACGGGGGGGCAAGCGUUGUUCGGAAUUACUGGGCGUAAAGGGCUCGUAGGCGGCCAACUAAGUCGGAUGUGAAAUCCCAAGCUUAACCUUGGGAACUGCAUCCGAUACGUGGAUGGCUUGAAUCCGGGAGAGGGAUGCAGAAUUCCAGGUGUGAGCGGUGAAAUGCGUAGAUAUCUGGAGGAAUACCGGUGGCGAAGGCGGCGAAUC